rnacentral:rRNA from 1 species
AACUCCCAAACUGGGAUAGAUACCCCACUAUGCCUAGCCCUAAACCCAAAUAGUUACAUAACAAAACUAUUCGCCAGAGUACUACUCGCAACUGCCUAAAACUCAAAGGACUGGCGGUGCUUCACAUCCACCUAGAGGAGCCUGUUCUAUAAUCGAUAAACCCCGAU